UGGUCCUGGUUAACGAAACCAUUUGCACGCCCCUGGGCACCAGCGAGUGGCAGGGCAAAGCGGGCUGUAAAUUUCGAAACUCCGAAUCAAGCUUCGAUUAGGGUUUUCUCGUCGGAGAUGCUGAGCAAGAAGAGGCGGCGGGCGGAGCCGCCGGCGAUACACCCUCGCAACCGGUACUCGGAGAAGCCACCAAACUUUGGCCUCCUCGCCUCCCUCUACCCUUCCUUCCGCCCCUUCGUCUUCUCAUCCUCCCGUUCCGGCCGCCCCACCAUCGACUGGACUGACUUCAACGCCACCCGCGAGCUCACUCGCGUCCUCCUCCUCCACGACUACGGCGUCCACUGGUGGAUUCCAGAUGGGCAACUCUGCCCUACGGUGCCCAACAGAUCGAACUACAUCCACUGGAUUGAGGACUUGCUGUCCUCUGAGCUUAUCCCGGCGAGAAAUGAUUCUGACGGAAAAGUUAGGGGUUUUGAUAUUGGGACUGGAGCCAAUUGCAUAUACCCACUCCUUGGGGCAUCACUGCUGGGGUGGAGUUUUGUUGGGUCUGAUGUUACGGAUGUGGCUUUGGAGUGGGCUAGAAAGAAUGUGGAGAGCAAUCCCCACCUGUCAGAGCUGAUUGAAAUCAGAAAUGCUAAUCAUGCAUUGUGUUCCAGUGACAAGAAGCCAACUUCAGAGAAGUUUGAUGGUGUGGUGGCCGUCGAGCCAACUGCAGCUGUUGAGGAAGAACUGUUACAUCCAAAGCCAAAAGAGGGUCAUUUCUGUGAACCACCUAUACUUGUAGGUGUUGUGAAGAAUGGUGAAAAUUUCGACUUCUGCAUGUGCAACCCACCAUUUUUUGAAAGCAUAGAGGAGGCGGGUCUAAACCCAAAGACUUCUUGUGGAGGGACUGCAGAGGAGAUGGUUUGCCCUGGUGGUGAACGGGCUUUUAUCACCCACAUUAUUGAAGAUAGUGUUUCAUUGAAGCAUUCUUUCCGGUGGUUCACAUCAAUGGUUGGAAGAAAGGCAAAUUUGAAAUUCUUGGUGUCAAAGCUCCAUAAGGUUGGGGUCUCAAUAGUCAAGACUACUGAGUUUGUCCAGGGUCAUACAGCUCGAUGGGGUCUUGCAUGGUCUUUUCUGCCUCCAAGCAAAAAGUUCAUCGUGGCAAAUAUUCCAACAAAAAACCAUCUCUCGUUCAUGCUUGAGGGCCUUCAACGUCAAUUUGGUGCCUUUCAAAUAUUAAAAUCUGUGGAGUCUUUUUUCCAGUCAAUUGGUGCCUUCUGCAAAUCUGAUUUUACAUCAUUUUGUGUCAAUGACAUUUUCACAGAUCAUGUUAUCGAAUGAACGUACUGCGAUAAUUCUUAAAGAUGGCUCCGAUAAUGUUGGUGGAAGUGUUGCUAGUCUGACAUCAAAUGGGUCAAGCAACUUGCAAUGUCCGUCAAAUGAGCUAUCCUUCCGUGUCUCUGUAUUUGAGCAAAUUCCAGGCACACUUUUAGUUAAAGGAUCAAUGUUGCACAAAGAAAGUCCACUUUCAGGAGUAUUCUCAUCGUUAUUUUGGCAAUUGGAGGAAGCUCUGAAGAGGGAAUUUCUCAGCAAGUCCCAUGCACACUAGCUUAGGCAAAUCCUUAGAAGGAUGCGCGGCAUUGGAUUAUGGAGGAUUAUAAAGGAAGAGAUGCAUUAGCGUACAAUAAGAUGUAAUUAGAGCUUGAAGAAGCUUCAACCUUUCUAAUCUUCUCUCGUAUUGAUGUAUCCCAUGAUUAUUCCCAAAAUAAUUUGGUAUAUGAGUCCUUGAUUUCUCUGAGAGCUCACUACCCAGAGUCCAUAAAUUUCUUUUGGAGCAUCAGACAUAAUUUGGGCCUAAGCAUUGUCGAUCCAGAAUUGAAAGCUUUAUCAUCUUUUUAUUCAAUCUACAGACAAAGCUUCGCGUUUAAUAAGUCUUUGUAUUCCC